GAUGAACGCUGGCGGCGUGCUUAACACAUGCAAGUCGAACGGAAAGGCUCCUGCUUGCAGGGGUACUCGAGUGACGAACGGGUGAGUAACACGUGGGUGAUCUGCCCUGCACUUCGGGAUAAGCCUGGGAAACUGGGUCUAAUACCGGAUAGGACGAUGGUUUGGAUGCCAUUGUGGAAAGUUUUUUCGGUGUGGGAUGAGCUCGCGGCCUAUCAGCUUGUUGGUGGGGUAAUGGCCUACCAAGGCGUCGACGGGUAGCCGGCCUGAGAGGGUGUACGGCCACAUUGGGACUGAGAUACGGCCCAGACUCCUACGGGAGGCAGCAGUGGGGAAUAUUGCACAAUGGGCGCAAGCCUGAUGCAGCGACGCCGCGUGGGGGAUGACGGCCUUCGGGUUGUAAACUCCUUUCGCUAGGGACGAAGCGCAAGUGACGGUACCUGGAGAAGAAGCACCGGCUAACUACGUG
rnacentral:rRNA from 1 species